rnacentral:pre_miRNA from 1 species
GCCGGGAAGAGGAAGAAAUAGAGAGCUCAACAGAACUCGGAAUGGGAACAUGGAGGAAAGACCUUCUUUUUUGUUUGCACCUCAAGUGUUGGGGGUGCAGAUAUUACUGAUGGAUCCUUCCUGAUGCCUCCCAUUCCUACUGCUCUUGUGCACUCCUUCCUCUUCCUUUUGGCU